rnacentral:lncRNA from 1 species
UGGGAUUCUUCUUAAAAGGAGUCAAGAAAUGAAAUAAACAGCAAGGGAUAACAGAAGUGUAGGAUUGAUUGUGAGCUUCUCCCCCCAAACUCAGAAAAACUGCCAGGCCUAUGGUAACAUCUCCGUUUUCAGAAGCUCAGAAAAGUAAGCUGCUUGCUCAAGAAUGGACGGCUUCAAGGUGGCAGAGCUGGAAGUUUCUAACUCACUCACCUCAUACUCAGACCUGCACUGUUUUUCAAGACAGUCAAUAUUUCAGGCCAUCUACUGAUUGGAUGAGGCCCACCAGCAUUCUGAAAGACAAGGAAUCUGAGACCUGGCUGGGAGAAGAGGACUUGCCUAAAGUUAUCCCACACAGCAAAUUAGUUGGAAAACCAGGAUAGUUGAGUAAAUAUCCUGGAGCCCAGCCAAGUAAUGAAGCCAGAAUUCAGAAAGCUGUUUUGGCUAGAUCUUGGAUUUUUACAAUAAAGGGUCUGUAAGGGAUAUUUGUGAAAAAUGUUGACACUUGACGGCUGUCCUGAUUCAUUCAGCUACCUAGGUUAUCUCUGCCUCUCUUUGACUUGUGUUUUGUCUUUUAAGAUGGCAGUCUUGCUCUUUUGCCUGGGCUGGUCUUGAACUCCUGGGCUCAAGCAGUUUUCCUGCUUUAGCCUCCUGAGUAGCUGGGGCUACAGGAGGACAUCACUGUGCCCAGCUCUCUCCGUAUCUUUGACUAGGUUAUUUUACAACCCCAUACGAUAGAAAUGAAGUUAUAGAAAACUGAUAGGAAUACAAAUAAUUAUUAUCCAUGGAAAUGCAAAUUGGAUCUAAUGGAAUGAAACUGAUUUUUUUUCCAGCAGAUAGUGACCACCUUUGUAUCCUUUUGUAAAUUCAUUUCAGCAUUCCAUAUUUGACUAAAAAUGUGUGACACUCCCAAUUUGCUUUUGAAUUCAUUGUAAUAUCUACCAAUUCCCUCAUUAAUUAAUGAGUUAAAUAAAGCCUUUGGCAUGUAUUUAUUUUGUAUCUAUAGGAGAGUCAUGAGUAUAUCUUCUUUUAAAAGGUAUUCUUCAGUAGGUCUUAGGGUGCACAAUACUUACAUCUUAUUUUCUCAUUCUACACUGUUCCCACACCUCACCCAGAAUAAAUGUAAUCUCCUGUGAGCUUCUGAACAUCAUGAAGAAUAACAGCUCAUUUUGUAAAGUCAUUUAGUAUUCG